UACGGAGGAUCCAAGCGUUAUCCGGAUUUAUUGGGUUUAAAGGGUGCGUAGGCGGGAGAUUAAGUCGGUGGUGAAAUUUUGCAGCUCAACUGUAAAAGUGCCAUUGAUACUGGUUUCCUUGAGUGUGGAUGAAGUAGGCGGAAUUUGUGGUGUAGCGGUGAAAUGCAUAGAUAUCACGAGGAACUCCGAUUGCGCAGGCAGCUUACUAAACCAUAACUGACGCUCAGGCACGAAGGCGUGGGGAUCAAACAGGAUUAGAUACCCGUGUA
rnacentral:rRNA from 1 species